rnacentral:tRNA from 1 species
ACUUUCAAAGGACAGAAGUAUUCCUGUGGCUUUAGGAGCC